rnacentral:lncRNA from 1 species
AUGGCAACAUCUCGAUCACUAAGCUCUCCCUCGGUCUCCCUGUCACACCACCCGAGCCCAGCGAGUCGUCAGAUCCCAGAUUUGAGGCAGCUGCAAAGCCGCUCCAUGAUUCCAGAGAGUACGGGGGGAGUGGAAAAAGUGAAUCUUCCGAAUAUUCCGAUUCCACAGAAUCUUCCGAGGAUGGCUCUCUCUCGAGCAGUACGUCAGAGGAAUCACCCAGGACUGAGCCCGCUGUCACGAGCACCGAGAGCGAGACGGGGAGGAGUGACGAGACCGACCCAGGACAAUCAAAAGCGGUCAAGCCUUCAGGUUUCAUCAAAGGGAAAUUCACUCGUCGGCCAAACGUCGGACCUUUCCAAAACAGAACCCGGCCAUUCUUGGGACCCCCUCUGUCCACUUCCAAAGGUCACAUUCGCAGGCCUUAUCCCCAUCGAGUACCCAAUGGCGGUGCCUUCAACAGAGGUCACCCUAUCCAACCAGGUAGUGGAGAGAGCACUGAUACCCGUGGUCAUACUAAACAAAGACCUGGUGUUUUCUAUAGGAAGAGAAAUGACACGAGACCUGCAAGGCCUCGACCAGACCAGCCACCUUCACCCCAUAUCACAACCUCACCAGCUCCUUCCUCAACCUCGCUACACUGCAACACCACAUCCUGAUGACAGAGAGAAUGGUCACCCUGAUGACGAAGAGAAUGGUCACCCUGAUGACGGAGAGAAUGGUCACGCUGAUGACGACAAGGAGAAAACCAGCAUAGGCAGCCCGUCUGAGGAAGUCCCUGCCAGCGUCACUGAGAAGCCGAAGGCAGAGCGGGUGAGAUACGCCCAAGGAAAACCUUCGCCUAGAGGCCCUGGUUUCACUGGUGGCAAUGGGGGCCUGAAAUACAAACUGAAGCCAGGAGUAACUCUGAGAAGACGCAAUGGCACAGUGAUUCGACCACCAACAGCAUCCCUCGCUAGCACCAGAACUACACCCCCUCCGAGUGCCAGGGCAGCUGUACCACGGGCCAAACUACUGCCCCUCCAGACAGUGUAA